rnacentral:lncRNA from 1 species
GCGGACUCCUCACAGCCAGCGUGUGGCAGGAAUUAUUAUUAUCCCAACAUUCUCCAGAGGAGGAAACCCAGGCUCAGAGUGGUUUUUAGCCUCCAGGACGAUGACGGCUGCUGCUGCACUGGCCUCGUCCCUGGAUCCCUCGCCGCAGAUCUGUCCUACACAGGGUUCCAGAGGAGUCAUCCUAACACCAUCUGACCCUGUCCCUCUCAUGCUCAAAACAUAUUUGUAGCCUUCAUCACCUUCAUGACAUGGAUACUGCUGAGUUCUCCAGACACUUCACUCCAGAGUGCAGCUAUUGUGAGAAAUGACUCUUUGUUCCCCAAAUAAGCCUCAGAAUCUGGAUAUGGGGCCUGAAUCUGGAUAUGGGGCCUCAACACAUGCUCCAACUUGGACUAGAAUGUCCUUCUCUCUGGUCUCAGUUAACUCUGUCCCUCAGGUCUCAGUGCAGAAGUCACCUCCACCACGAAGCCUCCUCUGUCUGACCCUCUGUUUUAAACUUUUUCCUACUGUAAAUAUGUCCCAUUUUCUGAAAAAAAUCAGCAUAUUUUAAAGUAUUCUGGCACAAAGCUGGUUUUCAGCUUUCAGAGCCAUUUAUUUAUUUAUCUAUUUAUUGGAGACAGAGUCUCGCUCUGUCACCCAGGCUGGAGUGCAGUGGCGCGAUCACAGCUCACUGCAGCCUCCACCUCCCGGUUUCAGUGCCUCAGCCUCUCGAGUAGCUGGGAUUAUACCACACCACCAUGGCUGGCUUUUGUAUUUUUAGUAGAGACAGGGUUUCAUCAUGUUGCCCAGGCUAGUCUUGAAUUCAUGACCUCAGGCAAUCUGUCCACCUCAGCCUCCCAAGUGCUAGGAUUACAGGCGUGAGCCACCGCACCCGGCCCAGAGCCAAAUAUUUAUAUGUUUCUGUAGGUUUCUAUACAGUGGGAUGCCUUUUCUGUGCUCCUAUGAGACCCUGUAGUAUGGCACAUAUUACCCUGUGUGGUGAGUGUCUGUGUCAGUGCCUGACUCUCCCACCAGACUGGGAAGUUCUUGGGAAUAGCAACUAGUUCUGUUCCAUCUCUGGGUCCCCAGAGUCCAGUUGAGGGCUAGACACACAGGGAGGAUGAGCCAGUAAGGUGGGUUCCUAUAGGACAGAAGGGAGCAGGGACUGGGACCAGCUGGGCCAUUGAGAGGAGCAGGGUGCGGGAAGGGGCCAGGUGGAGGGGCUGGGCUGGGCCACACCUUGUCUAUGUAACUCUGGCCCAGCCCCUUCACUUCCUGAAGGUGGACCUGGGCUUGGGCCUGGCUCUUCUUGCCUGUCCGCCUCCGACAGCUCUUCCGGUAGAGACAGAAACAGCAGCUGAAGAUGAGGAGGCCUGAGACCAGCACGAUGGUGGCCAGGGCCCAGGGGGGCACUGCAGAGGGGUGGAGACAACACACAUUGAGGCCUGGGCAGCACGCAGGCUGAUUCAGUCCUGAUUACACGUGGAAGCUGGAAUGCUGGCCUCCUUUUCCCUCCAGCCAUUUUCAUUGCAUUUCUUCCUGUGUUUUUCUUCCACCUAAUGUGGCCUAUAGAGAGAUUCGAUGCCCCAACCCAGGCUGACACCAUCUGGAUUUGCUUGCUUGUUAGUUCUGCCUUUCCUUACCCGACCCCGCCCCCC